rnacentral:rRNA from 1 species
UACGGGGGGGGGGCAAGCGUUGUUCGGAAUUACUGGGCGUAAAGGGCUCGUAGGCGGCCAACUAAGUCAGACGUGAAAUCCCUCGGCUUAACCGGGGGAACUGCAUCUAAUACUGGAUGGCUUGAGUUCGGGAGAGGGAUGCGGAAUUCCAGGUGUAGCGGUGAAAUGACGUAGAUAUCUGGAGGAACACCGGUGGCGAAGGCGGCAUCCUGGACCGACACUGACGCUGAGGAGCGAAAGCCAGGGGAGCAAAACGGG